AUUGAACGCUGGCGGCAGGCCUUACACAUGCAAGUCGAGCGAGCGGCGGACGGGUGAGUAAUGUCUGGGAAACUGCGUGCUGGAGGGGGGUAACUCCUGUCAACGGUAGCUAAUACCGCAUACCCUCAUAUGUGCCCAGAUGGGAUUAUCUAGUUGGUGGGGGAACGGCUCACCAAGGAGACGAUCCCGAGCUGGUCUUAGAGGAUGACCAGCCACAAUGGGACUGAGACACGGUCCAGACUCCUACGGGAGGAAGAAGUGGGGAAUAGUGGACAAUGGGGGAAAGCCUGAUGCAGCCAUGCCGCGUGUGUGAAGAAGGCCUUCGGGUUGUAAAGUACUUUCAGCAGGGAGGCGUUACCCGCAGAAGAAGCACCGGCUAACGACGGGCCAGCAGCCGCGGUAAUUC
rnacentral:rRNA from 1 species